AUGCUUCCACUCGUCCCGCCGCCGCCACCGCCCCGGCUCAGCAAUCUCGCCGCCGCCGUGGCAAUCCCCCCAACCGGCCUGGACCUAGCUUCUCGCGCCGCUCACCAACGACCUAGGCGCAUCCCUUCCCAGCGGCCGUUGCCGUCGAAGCUGCCCCCGCACACACCAUUCCUUGUGGCGACGAGGAUCCCCCCAGGCCGAUGCAGCCGACCACCGCGAAUCCAACUCCGGCUUACACCAGGUUAGCCUUCUCGCCCAUCCCUCUUCCCUUCCCCGCCCCCUGUUCCCCUCAAUUUGGGAUUUAGGUCUCGAAUUUCCCCCAAAUCAACAUUGCACAUGAACCCUAGUUCAACCCGAGAACCCAAAUUGAGCUCGAUUUGGCGUUUAUAAGGAUGCCGCGAAGUGGAUUUACGGACGACGGGCCGCAUCGAUGAUGUCCUGGCUCUGGGAUUCGGAUGGGAGUAGCAGUGUGAGUUCAUUAUACUUGGUAGAAAUUAAGGCAGUGCAUUGAGACAGUGGUGGUGGAAGAGCAACGACGGAUUGUGGAAAUGGCGGGUGGCGGCGCGUGGUAUCCCUUAGGCGGUUGCGACGCGCAGAGCGAGAUGGAGGAGAGAAGAGGAAGAUAAGGGAGUUCGAGAGUCAAAGGGAGGAAGGAUAAAGAGGAAGAGGGUCGGUGAGGCUCACGCAUACGAGUGUUAGAUCGACCGUGUUGCGCGUUGCCUCGCCAGAGAGUCUUUUCGAAAAUCAAUACAUCGUUGUAAUAAAAAAAAACUCUUGAGACUGUGCAAAAAGAAGAGGACAAGAAAACCAACAACUAGAAUGAUUCAUUUUGCUAAGUGUAAAUGUUGUUAAUAUUGUCAUCGAAAAGAUAUCACAAAAACCCAGGCAGCAUAAAAAAAUAUAAAUAGUACUGCAGAUAACGUAGUAAAGUUAGGGUCACGAUAGAUGGACUUAGACUAGAUAUUUAUGGUUUACUUAUAAGAGCGUGAGAAAAAAAUGGAACCUAAUGCAUUAUAAGUGGUGUUAGAGCAACUCCACUCGGCCCCCACAUUUCGCAUCCGGCGCUAGGCCAUUUGAGGGGGUGCCAGCGCACCCUCUUCGUUUGAGGCCCAGCCGCGACCCAGCCACACCCCCUAAAUGUUGCCCCGCUAAAAAAUACAAUUCAAACAAAGUAUUGCCGCCAUUUCACAGGCCUUCCAAAAUCACGAAACCGACCAAGUUCAUCACAAGUUUCAGCGAUCAAAAUAACAUCAAACUUAAAUAAAAGUGAAAUCACUCGGCCCCUUCGUCUUCCGCCGACGCUGAUGGCUCUUCCGUGCCUGCCGGUGGUGUAGAAGUGGCCGGAGUUUCUGUUUCGGGCGGUGAGGGCGCCGAUGGAGUAGAGGUGGUCGUUGCUGCUGUUUGGGGCGCCGACGCCGGCGCUCUCACUUCGGCCAAAAUGAGCCUUCGCUGGCCGUCGUACCACGCCUUUACCUCGUCGUCCAUGCCGGUGGUGUCGCCAUGGGCGGAGGACGAAACAAAAUCAAGGUGGGGCGAACUCUCAAGCAUAAAAAAACAGAAGAAGAACUUUGAAACAUACUGAUAACAAAUGAAGCUUCAGUGCUGUCUAGAAGGCCCAGGCAAUGACAUAGCUCUACAUUGCUCUUGAAAAUCUCUUUUAAUUUUAUCAAGAUCAAGAUUUUUGAAUAUCGCUCAGUCAAUGUAGCACACCAUCAAGUCAUUAAGCCAACCAUCAGACAUCUUAUUGCGCAACUCGGUCUCGAUGAUCUUCAUACGGAGUAGCUGAGAAGGCCCUUUCAACUGUUGCCGUCGCUACCGGCAAAAUCAAUGCCAAUUCAAUGAUAUGAUAAAUUGUACUCCUUCCGUUUCAUAAUUCUUGUCGAAAUAUUACAUGUAUCCAAAUACGUUUUAUGAAUAGAUACAUCCAUUUUUGAUCAAAUUUGAGACAAGAAUUAUGAAACGGAAGAAGUAUGAAACAUGAUGUACCUUUCAAGUUCAACUAUCCUUUUAGCUAGACUUGCAAUAUCAAAACAAUCUUUGAAGUCUUCAACUCUCAUAUGAAUAACGAAUAGCUCAAGGCUAUCAACUAUAUGCUCACGCUCAUAAUUAGAGAAAUCAUCAUAAUAAAUCUUUGUAAGCUGAGCAAGCCUAUCCACAUUGAACCUAGCAAAUGAGUAUAUUGGAUCAAGACAAGAUGCUCCUUGCUGCUGGACGCUGGGCGCUGGUGGCCUGGCGUUGUCCCGCUGACGCCGAGCAGCGUGGAAGAGAUUGAGAUCCCGCCGAGCAGCGCAGCCUGUCCAGCCUAAUUCCACGCCACCGCCAUCCGCCAGGCUCGAGCAAAAGAAAGACAGAUGGAGAGAAGGAGCGUGAGGCUACGCAGUGCGAACAGCGAACGAACGAAUCCGUAUUUCCCAUCGGGCUCGGGGGAAUCGGCAAUUUGCAGGCCUAGAAAGGCAGGAAGGAACGGACGGCUGGCCCAACAACACAAAUCACGUUAACGCAGCGUUUUUCCUUCCUCGAUUAGCGUUAACUGCCUUGCUUGUAGUCCCGUAUCAAAAAAUUUGGCGAAAAUCAAGGUAGGGCGGACGCCCAACCUCGCCCUAGCCCUACCUCGCCCUACCGGGAGCUCCGCCCAUGGGUGUCGCAUGUCAAUAUCAACAAGUCCUCCCGCCUCUUCUUCGCCGCGACAUUCGCCUUGAGGAUCUCGAGCUUGUCAUCUUGCUUCUUGAUCACCGUCGCCCACCGUGACGCCGCGACAGCCUCCCUCUUCGCGGCGAGCUUGUCCUUUUCGUGGCUUGUGCGGCGGCGGCGGACAUGCACUUCUCGAUGCAUGUGUAUGGGUGCUCCGUGGCCGGCGCGGCAUCCCUCGUUGCGGGAAGGAGGCGGACGUCGAUGAACCGCCGUAGAAGAGAGGCCCCUGCCGCAGAGGAGGUGAGGCGAAGACGUUGGGGUUGAAACCGCCGAGGGGAUCCGCAGCGAAGGUGUUGGGGUUGAAGCCGCUGAGAGGAUCAGUGUCAGUGUCAGGGUAGUCCGACGAGAACCACGAGAGGGACGGCAUGGCAUUCCCCUGGUGGUCAUGGGGCAUAUAAGGCGACACCGGCGAUAUGUCCGCCGGCAACGGGGAUGACGAAGAGCUCCCUUGGCUGCCGCUGCUCCAGUGCUGGGCGGAGGGUGGCCACGGCACAGGAAUGCCACCCAUCUGCGCCGAGGCCGCGACCCUUUGCGCCGCCAUCUACGCCGCGGCCGCGGCCCUCUGCGCCUCCAUCUGCCGGGCCAGGUCGGCGUUCCUCUCCUUUCUCAUCCUAGGUGGCCGCUCCUUUUCCUUGGGUUUCUUCGCCACUGCGUCGCCGGCCAGCGUGCAACGAGUUGCUGCAUACCUCUUCGGCGCCAUGGUUUUUCUUGGAGCGGCGGUGGUGUCGGCGAGGCGCUUUGAGGUGGUGUCGGCGGCGAGAAUGGGGGGGGGGGAUGGCGGGACUUGCCGCCCAGGCGGGGGGAGGGGGGGGGGGAGUGGAGCGAAAAGGGGUAGCCGCCGAAAAUUUGGAGGGAAAUUUGGAUUGUUUCGCCGACAGGUGUGGCCCGCAUUGCCUUUUGGCUUCAGCCGGCGCCCCCGAUCCCACCCCCCCCCCCCCCCCCCAAGUUGGGUUUGGUCUGGGAUCGCCGGAUAACUUUUUGGGCCGCGCCGGCUAAAAAAACAAAUUGGAAAGGCCGGCUGGGUUGGAUUUUACGCGCCGAUGCCCCUAAGCCCGUUUAGGGGGCCUUUAGGGGGGCCGAGUGGAGAUGCUCCUGGGCUGUCAGCUGACCUCUUGCAAUUCAAUACUCACGUAAUAAAAAUCUCGAGUUAAUGCAGUCUUUAGUUUGGAUGUGAUUUUUUUAGGGGGUCUUUGGACGUGAUUAGACCUGACUCUAGGUGAAAAGACCCGAGUUGACUCCAAAACAAAAAUAAAAGAAAUAUAAUUAAAAAGGAAGAAAUUAAGCAUCAUAUGUGUCGUAAGGCACACAGACACAACACAGUAUUCAUACAGACAAAUACUACUACGUGAUACAGUAUCCAAUAUGCCUAAUUGACUGCUAUUGCCGUAACAAACAUAACAUGGUAAUGCAAUCACAAAUCAAGUCUACACUACAACUGAUCUAGAUUGAUCUUACCGGGAAGAGAACGGAUAAAGAAAAUCAGGCAAUCAGGCCGGCCCCUCCCUCAUCUCCUUGGUCUACGGGCUCCUCUACGACCGGCUGAUCUUGGUCUACGGGCUGCUCUACGACCGGCUGAUCUUGGUCUACGGGCUCCUCUACGACGGGCUGAUGUACUACGACCGGCUCCUCCACUACCACGGCUUCAUCGUCCUCAGUGCCGUCUUCUUCGAGUAGCUCGUCCAUUAAGCCGAUAAUGUGGCUCUUGUCUACGGCGUCUUCGUUGUCAUCUUGAAAUUCCAAGAUGUCGUCGAUGAUAAAUGUGUAGUACUCUGACCCUGCCAUGUUGAAGUGCCUGUUGUAUAGGACGGCCGGAUACUUGGGCAUCCACACGUCGCCGGCGAGCAACCCGAACGCCUCAACCGGCCCAACCCGCCGAAUUAUCAUCUUGCAAAUUAGAGGUGUUCGCCCUUCUAUCUUGGACUGUCUUAUUUAUAAGUGGACAGACGGCACCAUGGCGGCUUAAUUGUACUCGUACACGAACUCUGUUUCGUUUGUACCACCGUGAGUCCGUGACACUAAUUCCUUUCCCUUAAAGGAUGCUAGAGCUAGACUACUCGGCUCCUUGUUGCUUCCUGCGCGCAAGAUGGUUGCGGACCUCUUGAUGGCUGGCUGCGGUGAGCUCGGCGUAAUCUGGCACGUCCGCUCCAUGCAGUUUUUUUGCUACGUUUGCUACUUUCGUGCGGGCUGGCUUCAGGUGGCCCGUCGAUCCUGUGGGCCCGGCGUGUCGGUGGAGAGGGUUUGCGGGCGGUUGGUCUCAGGAAUUGGCAGUUCUGGGCCGUGCGUGACUGCGUGGCGUGGUUGUCUCGAACGCCUCUGACGCCUCCGGUUCUUCCGCGCACCGUACGGGAUCCUAUUCAUCAGCAUACUGCUCUAUAGUCAUGAUUAUAAUACAGUGGAUCUCCCACGUCAGUGGGCGUGGUUCAAACCUGCUCCGAACUGCACCUAACUGUUUGUACCUAAAGUGAUUGGAGUAAAAUGGUUCAAUCCUUUGGAGCGAGAUCGGUAAAUCACAUGAUCCAAUGGAUCUUUAGGUUCAAACCUAACUGGC
rnacentral:lncRNA from 1 species